rnacentral:rRNA from 1 species
UACAGAGGGGGCAAGCGUUGUUCGGAAUUACUGGGCGUAAAGGGCGCGUAGGCGGCCUUCUAAGUCGAACGUGAAAUCCCCGGGCUCAACCCGGGAACUGCGUCCGAGACUGAAAGGCUUGAAUCCGGGAGAGGGAUGUGGAAUUCCAGGUGUAGCGGUGAAAUGCGUAGAUAUCUGGAGGAACACCGGUGGCGAAGGCGGGUCUCUGGGCAGUAACUGACGCUGAGGAGCGAAAGCGUGGGGAGCGAACAGG